UACGUAGGGUGCAAGCGUUAAUCGGAAUUACUGGGCGUAAAGCGUGCGCAGGCGGCUUUGCAAGACAGAUGUGAAAUCCCCGGGCUCAACCUGGGAACUGCAUUUGUGACUGCAUGGCUAGAGUACGGUAGAGGGGGAUGGAAUUCCGCGUGUAGCAGUGAAAUGCGUAGAUAUGCGGAGGAACACCGAUGGCGAAGGCAAUCCCUGGACCUGUACUGACGCUCAUGCACGAAAGCGUGGGGAGCAACAGG
rnacentral:rRNA from 1 species